UUGAACGCUGGCGGCAUGCCUUACACAUGCAAGUCGAACGGCAGCACGGGGGCAACCCUGGUGGCGAGUGGCGAACGGGUGAGUAAUACAUCGGAACGUGUCCUGUUGUGGGGGAUAACCCACCGAAAGGUGAGCUAAUACCGCAUGAUCUGGAGACAGCAAAGCAGGGGACUCGCAAGGGCCUUGCGCGAUUGGAGCGGCCGAUGUCCGAUUAGCUAGUUGGCGGGGUAGAGGCCCACCAAGGCGACGAUCGGUAGCUGGUCUGAGAGGAUGAUCAGCCACACUGGGACUGAGACACGGCCCAGACUCCUACGGGAGGCAGCAGUGGGGAAUUUUGGACAAUGGGGGCAACCCUGAUCCAGCCAUGCCGCGUGAGUGAAGAAGGCCUUCGGGUUGUAAAGCUCUUUCGGUGGGAACGAAACGGUUACAGCGAAUACCUGUGACUAAUGACGGUACUCACAGAAGAAGCACCGGCUAACUACGUGCCAGCAGCCGCGGUAAUACGUAGGGUGCGAGCGUUAAUCGGAAUUACUGGGCGUAAAGCGUGCGCAGGCGGCGCGUUAAGACAGGUGUGAAAGCCCCGAGCUUAACUUGGGAACUGCGCUUGUGACUGGCGUGCUGGAGUGUGGCAGAGGGAGGUGGAAUUCCACGUGUAGCAGUGAAAUGCGUAGAGAUGUGGAGGAACACCGAUGGCGAAGGCAGCCUCCUGGGCCAGCACUGACGCUCAUGCACGAAAGCGUGGGUAGCAAACAGGAUUAGAUACCCUGGUAGUCCACGCCCUAAACGAUGCAUAUUUGGUGUGGGUCAUUCAGUUGAUCCGUGCCGGAGCUAACGCGUUAAAUAUGCCGCCUGGGGAGUACAGCCGCAAGGCUGAAACUCAAAGGAAUUGACGGGGGCCCGCACAAGCGGUGGAGCAUGUGGUUUAAUUCGACGCAACGCGAAGAACCUUACCUGGGCUCGAAAUGCUAUGGAUCAGCUUAUGAAAGUAGGCCUUCCCGCAAGGGACCGUAGUAUAGGUGCUGCAUGGCUGUCGUCAGCUCGUGUCGUGAGAUGUUGGGUUAAGUCCCGCAACGAGCGCAACCCUUGUCCUGUGUUGCCAUACUGAAAAGUGGAACUCGCAGGAGACCGCCAGGGAUAACCUGGAGGAAGGUGGGGAUGACGUCAAGUCCUCAUGGCCUUUAUGUCCAGGGCUACACACGUGCUACAAUGGACGGUACAAAGGGCUGCCAACCCGCGAGGGGGAGCCAAUCCCAAAAAACCGUUCUCAGUUCGGAUUGCAGGCUGCAACUCGCCUGCAUGAAGCUGGAAUCGCUAGUAAUGGCAGAUCAGAACGCUGCCGUGAAUACGUUCCCGGGCCUUGUACACACCGCCCGUCACACCAUGGGAGUUGGUUCGACCUUAAGCCGGUGCGCGAACCCGCAAGGGACGCAGCCGACCACGGUCGGGUCAGCGACUGGGGUG
rnacentral:rRNA from 1 species